rnacentral:rRNA from 1 species
CGUCAAAUCAUCAUGCCCUUUAUGUCCCGGGCUACACACGUAAUACAAUGGCGUUUAACAAAGGGAAGCUAAGCCGCGAGGUGGAGCAAACCCCCAAAAGGCGCCUCAGUUCGGAUCGCAGGCUGCAACUCGCCUGCGUGAAGUCGGAAUUGCUAGUAAUCGUGGAUCAUCAUGCCACGGUGAAUACGUUCCCGGGCCUU